rnacentral:rRNA from 1 species
GACGAACGCUGGCGGCGUGCUUAACACAUGCAAGUCGAACGGAAAGGCCCUGCUUUUGUGGGGUGCUCGAGUGGCGAACGGGUGAGUAACACGUGAGUAACCUGCCCUUGACUUUGGGAUAACUUCAGGAAACUGGGGCUAAUACCGGAUAGGAGCUCCUGCUGCAUGGUGGGGGUUGGAAAGUUUCGGCGGUUGGGGAUGGACUCGCGGCUUAUCAGCUUGUUGGUGGGGUAGUGGCUUACCAAGGCUUUGACGGGUAGCCGGCCUGAGAGGGUGACCGGCAACAUUGGGACUGCGAUACGGCCGAGACUCCUACAGGAGGCAGCAGUGGGGAAUAUUGCAGAAUGGGCGGAAGCCUGAUGCAGCGACGCCGCGUGCGGGAUGACGGACUUCGGGUUGUAAACCGCUUUGGCAUGUGACGAAGCGUGAGUGACGGUAAUGGGUAAAGAAGCACCGGCUAACUACGUG